ACAACGACAAUAACACCGCUUUGCUGCCACCAGCGAUCGAGUCUUUCUCCUUUCCUUUGCACAAUAAUGGUCAAGGUGUAAUAGUUAACAAUACCAUCACAACGCAUGAGUUUUCUAUCCCUCAGUUCUCCAACAAUAUCAUGCAAUCUCAACCACAGUGUGAACCAAAGGUUGGACACAGCAAUAGUCUUUUUCUCAAUGAGAUCAUGAACCACGAAACCUUCUCAAAGAAAGACCAAGAUCAGGAAAAGGCAUUAAAAUCAAUGCACCUUCACACACCAUAGAAGCACCCAAUUUCAAUUGGGUUCUUUGCUGCAACACAAGCACAAUGUUUUUCUUAUUAGGUUUAAUACAUUCACCUAUGGUGGGGACAACCGCAAAGGCGGUGGAGGUGGCAGAGGAGUUGCGCCAGAUGAAGUCGCAGCGGUAGGAGGACUCGAAGGCGAACGCUCGAGUGAUGGAGAUCUUCACAUCACACCGAAACGCGUGGCAGGCGGAGGAGAAGCGGCUGUUGCAGCAGAUCGAGGCGGCGACAGAGGAGAUUAUGUGCCUGAGGGGACGCGUGGCAAAGUUGAAGGAGGUGAGGAGUAGCGACCCCUGACGGUGCUCCGGUGAUAAUGCUCGGUCGUACGACAAUCACAACAUUGUUUUGGUGACGACUCCAGAUUGUGCGGCGUAGUGGGCGGUGGGUGAGGGGAGUCCCGUGAUUGAUUGUACAAAUAAACCAUUCAAAAAAUUUUAAUACACCUCAGCAUGUCACCAAAUCUAAAAAAAUUACAUCUCAGUAUGUGUACAGACUGCGUUAAUGAAAACUUAACGAAAACAACUUAAUUAUUUUAUUUUAACAACUUUA